AUUUCAACGACAGAUUGAUGAGACAAAUAUAUAAGAUAGCGCAUUUCCUUUUUGCAGCGUUAUAACUCGUGUUUGAGCUAUUUGUAGCAACGUACACACGAUUUUUCUGUUCAUAUGUCGAUACCGAAACUGAAACUGAGGUGGUGGUGGCGCUAGUGUCGCCAACAUCGCCCUGUCGCUUUUUUUUUUUUUUUCUUCGCAGACAUGGCGGCGUCCUGCAUUUCGUGUGUGCGUCGUAGUGUCGAGUUUUGUUCAUGCGGUCGACCUUUACUGCGUUACCUCGCAUUGUGUGUUGUGUGUUGCGGUUACUGACGUAAGCGCAAGUUCUUCACUGAGUAUGAUCCGCGGCACCGUGCAAAUAGUCACCAGAUGCCGGCCGAGCGACUCCGUUCUCUGCGACUCCUUUGUUCGGUGUGAUGGAGGGACGUGAUUCAUAGCUUUGGAGACCCUCUUUACACCGUGCCCUCUUCAAACGUUUCCACGCAUCAGUGAGUAGCAGCACCGCAAUCUUUACUCGACGGCACGCUCUGUGGGCCUAGAAAAUGCCUUGACGUUCGAGCACUUCGGGAGCUAUACCGGCGGACAGCCGGAUGCGGGUAGCUUGGCCGUUCCUUGCUCUGCGCAUCGCUUGAAAACCGGCGGUCAUCCUGCAGUGUACGCUGCCAGCGUGCUUUCUUGCCAGAGCCACCUCCCCUGCUGGUGAUGACCAUAUGCAGCCAAUGCUGAUGUGAACCCGAGUGAUGAACAAAUGCAGAUCUGCAAAGGAGCUGUCCUGAGGCACCAUGCUUACUCAAAUCAUGCAGCGAGAGUCAGGUAAGUGUUAUGUUUCACCUUCCUGCAGCUGUGUUCGUUGUUCACUUGCAAAACUGUCAUAUUUUCAUGAAUUGGCAAUGUGGGGACAUUUUCUUCGACUGCGGUUGAGCAGCAAACGGUCGUGCCACUCUUCACCAUCCUAAAUGAAGGUAGGCAUGCAAACACGGGCACAAGAGAGAAAUCGGGACAACUGAAUUGCUGACUAACAGCUGAAGAAAUGCUGAGCGGCUGAAAAGAAGGUAGACACAAACACUUACCUGCACACUGGUAUGGGGUGACACUUAUUAAUCUGGCAGAUGUGGGGCUUUACCUGAGCGAAAUGUGUAGGCAUUUGAUUCAUUCUUUAUGCAAAUUAUUCGACGGCUGCCUCAAGCAUGCGCUUCCACUGCUAUUAAUAUGCCAGGCAUAUCGAUACUAGGUAAUAGUACCUUGCAUUCAUCGAAUUUUGGUGUGCAUAUACACCCUCGACAAUGCAAAGAUAAACUAGUGUGUUAGCCACUGGUUUACGACCUCUUACGUUCCGUUAAUCUCUGAAUAACACAGCAGCCCAUCUGUCCUAUGAAGAAACAGCCACAGCUACAAAGAACUGUAUAAACCAGAGCUACACAGCAAUCAGUAAACUAGUGGGUGUCUUGGAAAAAAAUAUUUGAGUCUGCCUUUUGUCUAUUCCCUGCUCAUUAUUUCUCAGUACAGUGGCGCAAAUCUUACCUGGCCCAUUGGCAGCCAUAAGGGCAACAUUAAUGCCUUAUCUACUUCCCACUUUAGCCUAUGAGAUAAUCACUGAAUGUAAGGAACACAUAAGACACGCUUGUUACUAUUGCUUUCUGCAACCACGUUCAGGCGUAACAAAAUGUGCUUUAAACAUUGAGCUACCGAGGCUAUUACAACGCAAGAAUGACCUACAUCUAAUAGAUGCCUAACCAGUUCAUUAAAGCUGGUGCUCAUUGUGUUCACGCAGCACUUGGUGAGAAAAUACUUAUGGCAUGACACAGCAAUGCCAGUACUAUUCCUUAGAAAUUUAGAAUGCUUGGAUGAGAAGUUGAACAGUAGUUUUGAAGGUCUAGGAGCAUACUCCCAUCACACGUGGUUCCACAGAAACACUAAGGUAAUGUCCUGAAAUUGUACUAUUCUGUCAUUCUGAGCCAGUUAUAUAGUAAGGUUCAGCCUUCGUUCAAUUACAUCAAACUGUCUAUUCACUGAGGUAACCGCGGUUUCAAGUUUAUCACCGCUACAAAAAAAUCAAUCAUGUAAUUGUACACGUAAUGAAAAACCUCAAUAAUAUCUUUGCCUAAGGCCUCCUCUAAGCGUUUGUCAACUGUGCUAAGGUAUAAAUCACUGAGAAUUCGGGCAUCUUUAAACCAAUGCAAGUUCAAUUCUGCGCAUGUUACGCUUACUUGAUAUUUUGUUGUGGUUACCAAUUUGAAUCCAUGGUUACCUCAAUGAUUGAACAAUUUGAGUUAAAUGGAGGAUGGCCGAAGUUUACUGAAGCAUUGCUUCAGAAUGAUAGUAUACAAACUUUAGGCAUUUCCUUAACAUUUCAGGAAAACCAAGUUUGCUAGCAGUAUUCUUCUGGAUCUUCAAUACUGUUGUCAGACCAACUCCAAGCAUUCUAAGCCUAGAAAAAACGCUAUUUUCAUGUCAUGCUUAAACUCAUCUCUCACCAGUCUGUACACAAAAUGAAGGCCAGCUUUAACACACAGGUUACGCGUCAAUUAGAUGCAGGUUAUCCUUGUUUUGCAGUAGCCACUCUCACUGAACGUUUCAAGAAGCCGACUGUGUCACGUGCAAACAUGGAGGCAAAAAUUAACAGUAACAAGCGUGCCGUAGGUAUUCUUUACACUCAUUGCUUAUCUCACAGGCUAAAGAAAGUGGGAAGUGCAUACAGUGUCAAUGCUGUCUUUACGGCUACGUAAGAUUUGUGCCACCUUGCAGAGAAAGAAUAAACAGAUAAUAGACAACAAGUGCAACGAACAUUGUUUCGUAGAACACACCAGCAACUUUACCGAUUGCCGUACAGGUGUGGUAUAAUGUUUCUCUUCGCUGUUGCUGCUUCUCCAAAGAGCAAAUGGGCCGCUAUGUUUACCAGAGAUUAACGAAACAUCAGGAGUCAUAAACUGGAGGUUUACCAUCUUAUAUAACCUUGCAUUGUCGAGAGUGUAAAUGCACGCCAAAAUUCGAUGAAUGCGUAGUUUCAUACAAGAGUGGAAAUGUAAAAACCUGUAAUGGUAGAAGCCUGGCAUAUCGAUAGUAAUGGAACUGCAUGUGUGAGCCAGCUGUCAGCUGACUUGCAUGAAGAAGAAAUCACAUUCCUGAAGUGUUAUCUCUCACGUAAAGCUCCAAGUGUGCCGGAUUGAUUAGGUGUCUCCCUAUCCCUGCAGAUGCGUGUAAAGGUAUUUGUGUCCACUUUCUUUUCCACCACUGUAUGCCUCUUCAUUUGUUUGUUGGUGUUUGUGUUGACCCCACUUCUUUCUUGUGUCUGCGUUUGCAUGCCUACCUUCAUUUAAAGAUGAAUCAUUACCAAUUUUUUCAGCUUUCUGUCAUUCUAAAUAUUCUUCACCAGCUUUGAAUAGGUUAACAUGGGUCCAGUAUUGCCGUACGAACUGCAGAAAUGAUGCUGAGCACAUGUGGUAGCCUUUGAACUGCGUGUGAAAGCCCGAGAUUUCUGUGUCAUCAUUGCAUGGCACUUAUAUUCAUAAGUUCUAGCCAGCACAUCAGCCCUCAUCAAAAAGAGCACAGGACAAAUCUACCUGUAUACCUUCUAAUUGCAAAAUAAUCCAGAUCUCGGAGUUCGUUUAUAGUUGACAGUCAAUCUAUUUGAAAUGAAUGGCACGGUUGACAUGACCUCGGAACUUAUACAUUUGUGUGACAUUUGUGUGAAGACAUCAUCCAGCCAUCACGUCACUGUAGAUCCACAGUAAACAGGCGAAAAUUCAACAAAUGCACCUGUAAAGAUCUGAAAGGUGUUCUGAAAAACACAGUAAUGCCGAGGCUUUUUGUAAGAAAUGUCUGUAUACAUAUCACUGAUAUUAAAUGAAAGGGUGGCAGGAUUGCAUUGUCACACAAAAGUAUGGCAUAUGUAUGGGUUCUAAUGUUGUGUAAACUUGGUGAUGUUUAAGAAUGGUCGACAAAGUAUACUUUCUCGUUGAUCACUUAAUACACUAGACUAGAACGAAGAAGAGACCAAAGCAACACCGGCAAAAUUUCAAUGAUGAAUCACUACCACCUUGCCCAACUGUCAGUUCUGAUGGUGCCCUGAUUAGAAUCUUUAGGUCAGUAGAUGAUUACCUUUUCUUUAUUGAGUGCUGAUGGUUCGAGGCUGCGGCAAAUGCGCUCACUUUCUACGAAAAAAGUGAUGCUAGUUUGAAUGUCACGUCUGCUGUUCUGAGCAAUGAAUGCAUUCAAAUUGGGUACCCUAGCAUAUAGGUCAGUGGCUGCUACACAUGUUGGACAUAAGCAGUCUGUUAGGCCAAUUAUAUACUUCAAUUUGACCCAUUCAGUGCUGGUGACAAAUGGCAUCAAUGUUUGUUCCCUAAGACCUGUGUUGAAUAUUGAACAAAUAUGUUGUGUCCAUUUUGCAUAUCUGCCAUUUCUCAGACUGAUUUUGUCACAUUUUUCCCUAGUUGCCAUUAUUUUUAUCGCACUCAGCGAGUAAUGCUGCUAUUGUUUGGACGAAGAGGAUGAAAAGCAAUAGGCGAGCCCAGUUUUCGUUUAACACUACCAUAU